rnacentral:rRNA from 1 species
GACGUAGGUGGCGAACGUUAUCCGGAAUUAUUGGGCGUAAAGGGUGCGCAGAUGGCUUGGUAAGUUGGCGGUGGGAAAUCGAGGCUCAACCUCGUGGAAGCCGGUAAUACUAUUAGGCUUGAGUGCAGGAGAGGUUAACGGAAUUCCAUGUGGAGCGGUAAAAUGUGUAGAUAUAUGGAAGAACAUCAAUAACGGCGAAGGCAGUUAACUAUCCUGCCACUGACAUUGAGGCACGAAAGCGUGGGGAGCAAAACGG